GAAGUAGAGAUGACCAGAAAUAGUGGAGGACGCCAGGUUAAUGAGGAGAGAUGUCAAGAACUAGAAACAAGACUCAAUUAUUACAAAAACAAGGUUAAUGAGUUGGAGCAGCGAGUUACUAUUCUCCAAAACAGAAGCAAUAGUCCUUAAGAAGGAAAGAGACAGCCUUACAUCUUGUCACUGAAGAUUCUCUGUCCUUAGUCUGUGUUGGACAAACUUGACAUUACUUGUUAGAGCUUUCAAUGAAGUGCUUUACAAUAUGAUAGUACACUGGAAGAUGUACCCAUUCUGUAUACAUAAACUGUACCGGUGAUAACAUGAAAAUUUCAUUAAGCAUUAGACAGUUGUACAUGACACUUACAAACUUUACUGAAGUUCAGAUAUAAAUAUUGUCAUUUUUUAGAAUUUUUUUUUUUAGAAUAAGAAUUGGCAGCUGAAAAUGUCUAUAAAAACCUUACAUAAGAAGAACAAAUAUUUCUGUGAUACAUCUUCAUGUAUAUAUAUAUGCAAGUACAAAAUUG